UUUGAUCUGUCCUCCUCUUUCACAUCUGCUCAUUUAUUUCCUCUCCUUCUCCCUUUCCAGUCUCUUUCCUGUUCACUUCAUCUGUCGCUUUCUAUCUGCUUUAUUUACUGAUCUCUUUUCCUCUUUUUUCUCCUUCCUUGUGACACUGUAUCUCCAUCCCUCCUUGAGGUCCUGAUCACAGGAUGAGCCCGAUCAUUAGAGCCCCCAAAACUCCAGGGAGAGCUGAGUUGCUGCAGGCUGACACACAGAAAAGGUUAAGGGACCAAACGUGUCUCACAACAUCCAUGAAGAGACAUAUUUUAGGCCUGGUCGCUGAGAGACUGAUAAGAUCCUGAUUCACCCGAGACAACCCUCUAAAUGAGUUCAGGACUCCUGGCGAUGGCGGCUCCUCCCCCUCACCUCCCCCGGCGUUCCUCCAGCUUCCUCUUUGACAUCCUGUUGUCGUGCGUCACACAUACAUAUUUCAUUGAGGAUUCAGCGAGGGAAAAAGAAACUGAAUAAAAAUUCAAAAUCACCUAAGAAGAAAAUAAACACUCAUCCAAGAAAACAGACUAACUACCAAGAGGUCCAGUGACUGGGAGGAAACCUGGAAUCACCUGGGAGGAACUCAUAACAAACAGAGGGAGGAAACACCUGAGAGGCCCCAGAACCGCAGGCAAGAGCAUCCAUCUGUGGAGAGCCGAGGUAUAACUCUGCAGGGCUUCAGAUCAAACGCACACUUCAAAAGGCUUCGGCAUCUCAAAGAACGGCCUGAAUUGUCAGGAUUGUCCAGACCUGUUUAGGAGGCAGACGGGCUCACACAGACACUCAUGUCUCAAAGCAGAAGUUUUUAUCUCUCAUUCAGAAAGUUUGCUUGUGGAUUACUAAAUGAGGCGGGCAGAGACAGACCCUCCACAACAUGUGUUAAUGAGCAAAAACACAAUCGGCUGCAUGGGUACCGCCGUAUGAAGUGUGAAGCUCGACCAUAACAAUCAAACAAUGAUAGAAUUAUAAUGGUGCUGGGCACGUCGAUAACAGCGAAGCUGCAUGUAACUACAGUGCUGCUAGACAGAAACAACCUCCUGAUGAGCUCAAACGUUCCUUAGAUUGGAAUCACUUUUAAAUUUAAAUGAAGCUCUCUGUUCUGCUCUAUCAAUAUUUUUUUUUUUUUUCCAUUGAUUUUCCUGUUAAUUGUGUGUUUAAAUGAUGUUUUAAUACAUUUCUAUGAUUUAUGUUCCUAAGUAGCACGACUGGAUUACCCUGUUAGGAGGUGCUGGGGCAGAAAUUUCCAUUUGGGCUCCUGCAGCUUGUAAACACAAUAUAAA